UACGUAGGGUGCGAGCAUUGUCCGGAAUUAUUGGGCGUAAAGAGCUCGUAGGCGGCUUGUCGCGUCGGAUGUGAAAGCCCGGGGCUUAACCCCGGGUCUGCAUUCGAUACGGGCAGGCUAGAGUUCGGUAGGGGAGAUCGGAAUUCCUGGUGUGGCGGUGAAAUGCGCAGAUAUCAGGAGGAACACCGGUGGCGAAGGCGGAUCUCUGGGCCGAUACUGACGCUGAGGAGCGAAAGCGUGGGGAGCGAACAGG
rnacentral:rRNA from 1 species